AGCGUCCCGCCCGCGCCCCUUCUGCCCCCGGCUCGCUCGCCCCGGGCGCCCCCGCCCCCGCCCCCGCCCUGGCUGCAAGGGCUCGCCACCUGCACGCAAAUAUCCUCCACCCCAGCCUAGGGCUUCAGAUGCUUCCAAGUCCUUUGGCAGGUGUCCUAAUGAAUGUGAACCUUAAAGCAGCUGCAGGCAGCCAGACUUUCGAUGCCGAAGCCCCCACCCCGGCACAGUUUCAUCCUAGGGACACGGACGUGGUGAACAACAGCGGUGACUAGAACUGGGUCCCCAGGACUAUGUACACCUGCCAGAGCCUGCUAAAAAGUUAAUCCAGUCCUGACCAGAAAUAACCAGCAAGACUUUGGUUAAAAGCAGACAAGCUCUGCAGACAGGAAAUGGGUCACCACAAGCCGGAAGGACCUGGGUGCCACAGGCCAGAGUCACCAGACGAAGAUGAUAGAGAUUCUGAAGAAGAAAUGUCAGUCGUGUCCAAACCCAUGGAAGAAAUAUGUUGUCUGCCUCCUGGUGCUGGUGCCAGUGAUAGCAGUGACAGUGUGGCUUUGUAAGACAUCGGGGAUGCACGACACAGUCACAGAAUAAGACGCUGACACCUUCCUCCAGUUCCUCUUCCAGCUCCUCCAAGUUUGUGGCUACUUCUCCGGUUCCUCCUACAAAGGCCAGCCCCGCAGGGAUAGUUGUCUCCAGCCCUAUCCUCCUCAGCCACUCUGCAUGUGUCACCUUCUGUAAAGAACAAGGUCGGCAACUGAUCAGCUUUGACAUGAGACAGCUAUACAAGGGAAAAGCUGGCAGUGCGACUAGCUCUGGGGUGAAGUGUCAUGGCUGGCUGUAACAAGAUGCUGAGAUACUGCGUCUCAGGAGCAGUCGGAGCAUUACAACAGCGUGUGGGUCCAACCCUCUUCAACUGUGCAUGAGCGUGGGAUCUGCUUCUCAUCCUCUAGGUAGGAGCUCAAGAAGAGUGGCCUCAGCGUAGUCGGGCCUUGCUAUUGCAGGAGAUCACCACCACCGCCACUCCCUAGACCCCAGAGGGCUGCUGGGCCUAGCCCAGGUAUGGAUCGAUGGGGAGCUUAGAGCAUUUCUGUCACACCCAAGCUGCAUCUUUUCUUGUCUUCCCCACUCUGGGCUGGAAACCUGGGUCUUCAGUGCUGUAAUUACAGGUGGCCAGGGGAGAAAUUCCACUUCCAGCGCACAGCAGAGCAGAGCUAAUUUAUCUGCGCUAUUCAUACCGUAUUACCUCAUAUGCGUGAGGUAGAGGAUGAAGGCCCCCCUCCCCACCUUCAGGACAACUCUUUCCAACCAGACUGGUGUUAUUUAUGAGUUCUGCUUGCUUCCUUGGAUUUCUCCACCCCCUGCCAGGGGUCUAAUGGGGCUCCCAGGAGGUGGCCACACUACACCUUUCCCAGCCCCAAGGGUCACAGAGCUUCAGAGCCAAGAACAACCCUGAAAGGCUUCAUCUGUGUGCAGGGACCAAGGUUGGCAAAAGGGGGUCUCUAAGGUAUGAGGGGAGUCAAUGGCAGCAGGUCUGGUCUGCUCUGGCCUCCCUCUAGGGUCUGUCCUAUACACUCCAUUUCUAUGAAGCACUGGCAAGGGGUGGGGAGUUAACUUAAAAGUGAAGGCAUAAACUCAUUUUGUAAAUCUUUUCCCAGGGGCUAUAGCACUAGGAAGACAUCUGCCUCCAGCCUUCCCACCAUGUGCAGGAACCUGGCAGUGAACAAUGUUUUCUCUCACACAUGCACAAUAUUCAAUAGCAUUAAGGAGGUGGGGUUUGGCCCUGAGCUCUGCUGAUCAUGUCGUGGGUUGGGAAGGUGGAUCUCUGCCUGAAUGGAAGCAACCCAGACAUGCAUGAGAUGCAUCUCAAGGGAUUUUAAGACUCCCCAAAUGGAUACCAGAUCCAGGGUCAGGAAGGAAUCCCCCCUGCCCGCCCCCCGCCCCAUAGUUAAGCUGGUCUGGAGUCAGGGGGUUUGUCCUCUACAGCAGGGGCAUGGCCUUGGCCUGGGGUCUCUCAAGUGUCCGCUACUAACCCUUCACAGCAGCAGGACGUUGGCUGCUGUGGCCCCCCCCGCCCGCCCCGGCCCCCCGCUUUCCCUGAGGCUGAGGUGAUGUCUGGUGCUCCAUUGUGUUGCUCAUAAGUCAGAUACGGGUUUACGUGGACUGGUUUGCACAAGGCUGGAGCUGCUUCAGGCAGGGCUUGGACUGGAUGUGAUCUCAGUGCAAGGGGCGGGGUGGGGUGGCCUUUCCAGCCCCAGUUCUCUAUGGCUCUGACUUUUCCCUGGAGGGUCCUUUCCAGCCCCCCUCACUGCACUUCCUGUGCACACUGCGACAAUCCCUCUCCCUGUCUCACUCUACCCAAGGGAUUCUCCGUUCUUUUGUCCCCACUUUCCUUUUUAAACCAGACUUGUCUUCAUGAAUAUGAAAGGGGAUCUCCUGGCCCCUCUCCAGGGCGUUUACCUGACU